rnacentral:rRNA from 1 species
UUGAACGCUGGCGGCAGGCCUAACACAUGCAAGUCGAGCGGAUGAUGGGAGCUUGCUCUUGGAUUCAGCGGCGGACGGGUGAGUAAUGCCUAGGAAUCUGCCUGGUAGUGGGGGACAACGUUUCGAAAGGAACGCUAAUACCGCAUACGUCCUACGGGAGAAAGCAGGGGACCUUCGGGCCUUGCGCUAUCAGAUGAGCCUAGGUCGGAUUAGCUAGUUGGUGGGGUAAAGGCCUACCAAGGCGACGAUCCGUAACUGGUCUGAGAGGAUGAUCAGUCACACUGGAACUGAGACACGGUCCAGACUCCUACGGGAGGCAGCAGUGGGGAAUAUUGGACAAUGGGCGAAAGCCUGAUCCAGCCAUGCCGCGUGUGUGAAGAAGGUCUUCGGAUUGUAAAGCACUUUAAGUUGGGAGGAAGGGCAGUAAGCUAAUAUCUUGCUGUUUUGACGUUACCAACAGAAUAAGCACCGGCUAACUUCGU